rnacentral:snRNA from 1 species
AGCUUUGUGCAGUGCAGUAUUGUAGCCAAUGAGGUUUAUCUGAGGCGCGAUUAUUGCUAAUUGAAAACUAAUUGUUCUAGCUGAUGUUUUAGGUACUGUGUUGAAUACAAGUGGUGACAGUGAACAUCCAUGUUCCUGAUUUUAGAAGAAAAGCUUUCAGUUUU